UACGGAGGGUGCAAGCGUUGUCCGGAAUCACUGGGCGUAAAGGGCGCGUAGGCGGCUCGGUAAGUAGGGGGUGAAAUCCUGCGGCUUAACCGCAGGGCUGCCUUCUAAACUGUCGAGCUCGAGCACGGUAGAGGCAGAUGGAAUUCCCGGUGUAGCGGUGGAAUGCGUAGAUAUUGGGAAGAACACCGGUGGCGAAGGCGGCGACCUGGUCCGAUACUGACGCUGAGGCGCGAAAGCGUGGGGAGCAAACAGG
rnacentral:rRNA from 1 species